UGCAGUCGAAGGAGAAGCCAUCUUCGGAUGGUGGAAACUGGCGCACGGGUGAGUAACGCGUGGGUAUCUACCUUGGGGUGGGGAAUAACCGCUGGAAACGGCGGCUAAUACCGCAUACGCCUUUAGAGGGAAAGCUCCGGCGCCCUAAGAGGAGCCCGCGUUGGAUUAGCUUGUUGGUAGGGUAACGGCCUACCAAGGCUACGAUCUAUAGCUGGUCUGAGAGGAUGAUCAGCCACACUGGGACUGAGACACGGCCCAGACUCCUGCGGGAGGCAGCAGUGGGGAAUAUUGGACAAUGGGCGCAAGCCUGAUCCAGCCAUGCCGCGUGAGUGAAGAAGGCCUUAGGGUUGUAAAGCUCUUUCACCUGCGAAGAUGAUGACGGUAGCAGGAGAAGAAGCCCCGGCUAACUCCGUGCCAGCAGCCGCGGUAAUACGGAGGGGGCUAGCGUUGUUCGGAAUUACUGGGCGUAAAGGGCGCGUAGGCGGUAUGCCAUGUCAGGGGUGAAAGGCCUGGGCUCAACCUAGGAACUGCCUUUGAAACUGGCAAACUAGAGUCCGAGAGAGGAUGGCGGAAUUCCCAGUGUAGAGGUGAAAUUCGUAGAUAUUGGGAAGAACACCAGUGGCGAAGGCGGCCAUCUGGAUCGGCACUGACGCUGAGGCGCGAAAGCGUG
rnacentral:rRNA from 1 species